UCUUCUCUCUUCUGCCUCCUAGCGAAAAAGGUGCCUGCUUCUCCUGCCAUGAUUAUAAGUUUCCUGAGGCUUCCCCAGCCAUGCCUAACUGAGUGAGGACCUAGAAUUUUAAUGUCUAAUAUGUGGUGUGAAUUAAAGAAGUGGCUUUGCUAUGCUGACCUUUUCAAUAUUCUAAUCUUUGCUUUGCUGACCUCUCAGACCUCUUCCUGGCAACAGUUAGGCUUUUGAGAGGAGGGAGAGCUGAGCCUGUUGGCUCCUUCCCAUUUAUGAGAGAGCCACCUGACAUCAGUCCAUAGGCUGUGAAGAGUAUUCCAGAUCUAUCACAUUUCUGCGAUUCCCAGAUGGCUGGUCAUGAAAAAAAUUCCCUCUUCAGUUUAUGUAUAUGGCAGUGAUGCACAACAUUGUUCUUUUGGUUGUGAAAAAUUCAAAGAAGUAGAUGUGGUCCUGGUUGAUGGAUGAACAUUGAGGCCCUCAAGUGCAUAAAGGAACUUCUAGAUAUCUGUUGAGGCCUGGAAGGGGCAAAACAAUUCAGGAAGCAGUUGAGGAUAAAGGGGUUUACAGUGGAAGAGAAGAUCCAGGUGCCUUCAUGGAAAUGCUUGUGGUUGAAAAGAGAUGAAGAUGAGUGUCCCUGGAAAGAGGAAGAAACAGCCAGGAAAAUUAUACCAUUAGCAAGACUGGCAUCAGCAAGUAGUUCACAGUGUUGGUUGUUCUUGGUUUCGCAGGAUUUUAUAGGAGAGUUUCUGUCAGGCCUCUGAGCCCAAGCUAAGCCAUCAUAUCCCCUGUGACCUACACGUAUACAUCCAGAUGGCCUGAAGCAAUUGAAGAUCCACAAAAUAAGUGAAAAUAGCCUUAGCUGAUGACAUUCCACCAUUGUGAUUUGUUUCUGCCCCACCCUAACUGAUACAUAUAUUCUUCCCUGCUCUUAAGAAGGUACUUUGGAAUAUUCUCCCCACCUCUUAAGAAUGUGCUUUGUAUGCAUAUUCCAAACUGUAAGAACUAAUGAUAAACCCACCACCCUUUGCUGACUCUUUUUUUGGACUCAGCCCACCUGCACUCAGGUGAAAUAAACAGCCUUGUUACUCAC
rnacentral:lncRNA from 1 species